UGCGAUUUUACUUCAGAGAAUCACUUCUAAAGGAAAAAUCCCAUCUCUGUGUUCCCUACAGGAGCCACAGAUCCCACCCUGGUUGAUGAGUCGAAAUCCCCGCUGCCUCAGAGUGAAGUUUUUACUCUGGAAGCCAGUUGCUUCGUGCGCUGCGCCUUCCAUACUCUCGCCCUGUCCGCAAGGAUGGCGGUCACGUUCCUCUCUCGGGAGGGAAUGGCUGUAUAGAGAGUGGUUGAUGAUCUCAACCCCAGUCGCUGCGUUGCCCUUGUGGUGCGUGGCCUGGGGUGGGCUUUGUGGGACGUCUGACAGGC
rnacentral:snoRNA from 1 species